GCUUCAGAUAUCAGAACAAUCAGGGUUGGGUCUCUCAAGUGACAAGGAAGGUGAGGAGUUAAGCAUGAAAUAGAGGAUUGGCAUGGGAGGGUAUAGAACAAUCUGCCCUGUUCUGUACUUGUGUUGAAACAUUUACCCAAUGUUUGUUAUUGUUCUCAUUACAACGGCAGUCAUAUCUUCCCCCCAGACACAUGGAAUAGAGUCAGCCAGUAUCUUAUACUUGUGUGUGUGGAAUAAAUGUCGAUAACAGCCUUUGUGGACUGUUACCUGGGUUUAGGGAUGAAAACCACACUGUAAUUGAAGAAAUUAGCAAUAUUUAGCCUGAAGUCAAGAAGAUGGAGGGGAAGCCCAGUACUGUGGCACAUGACAUAAUCCCAGGACUCGAGAGGCUGAGGCCAGAGGAUUGCAAAUUCAAGGCCAACCUCAGCAAUUUAGUGAGAUCUUUUCUCAAAAUGAAAAAUUUAAAAAAAGGACAGGAAAUUUAGUUUAGUGGUAAAGUACCCCUGGGUUCAAUCUCCAGGACAAAAAGAAGAAGGAAAAGUAACAAGGCAAGGAUUAAAAAACAAACAAACCAUAAAGAGCUGUACAAUAGAGUGGAAUUAGACUUGUUCUGUGUCAUGUCAAGGGCAGCUACCAGGAAGCAAAUAUAAAAAAUAUUUUUUGGUACUAGGGAUUGAACCCUGGGGUGCUUAACCACUGAGCCACAUCCCCAGCCCUUUUUUAAAAUUUUGAGACAGGGUCUCAUUAUUGC
rnacentral:lncRNA from 1 species